rnacentral:rRNA from 1 species
ACGAACGCUGGCGGCGUGCCUAAUACAUGCAAGUCGAACGGUCUUUCUAUGGAAGCUGCUUCCACUGAGAAGAUAGUGGCGGACGGGUGAGUAACACGUGGGUAACCUGCCCAUAAGAGGGGGAUAACAUCCGGAAACGGGUGCUAAUACCGCAUAGUUUUCUUGAUCGCAUGAUUGAGAAAGGAAAGACGGCCUUUGUGCUGUCGCUUAUGGAUGGACCCGCGGCGUAUUAGUUAGUUGGUGAGGUAAUGGCUCACCAAGACGAUGAUACGUAGCCGACCUGAGAGGGUGAUCGGCCACAUUGGGACUGAGACACGGCCCAAACUCCUACGGGAGGCAGCAGUAGGGAAUCUUCCGCAAUGGACGAAAGUCUGACGGAGCAACGCCGCGUGAGUGAAGAAAGGUUUUCGGAUCGUAAAACUCUGUUGUCAGAGAAGAACAAGUUGGAGAGUAACUGCUCCAGCCUUGACGGUAUCUGACCAGAAAGCCACGGCUAACUACGUGCCAGCCGCCGC